rnacentral:lncRNA from 1 species
UCAAAUUUGAAAAGUCCAAGUGAAUUAUCCCAAGUUCAACAAGGUCAAACAAAGUUUGACAAAAAGUUUCAGCAUUUUUAAAAGUCAGAAACUAUUUUUAAUCAAUUAAGAAUGCAUAAAAAUAACCAAAUUGAAUUAAAAUUUCAAAUAAAUCUCAAAUCAAUGAAUAAAUUGAUGAGAAUAUUUUUCAUAGAUUUAUCAUCAUUCAAAGAGGUUGAGAAAAUAUUUUUGUAUUUUUUGAAUAUCAAAAACUAUUUAAAAUGAA